AUGACAGUGCAGAAGACCUGGGUUUCCCCUUUGCUUUUUGCUUCUGCUGAUUUUCUUUUGACUCCCAACAUCUUUGCUUUUCUCUUUCAACAGCCACCUCGCUCCUCACCUCCCCACCUACGUGCUGGGGAUCAAACCCGGGCCUCAAGAAUGCUAAGCAAGUGCUCCAUUACUGAACUACAUCCCCAGCAACUCCCCAAAGAUGUUAUUCUUUGGACUGUCAUUAUUUUUCAAGGUAUGAUCACUUGUGGCAUUCCUAAGGCAAGUCUGGAUACAUGCAGCAUUCCAACCCUGAGUGCCUUUUCAAGUUUCCAACAGACUCCUGUGCUGAUGAGUGAUGAUAACUUUAUUGUAGUAGCCUCAAGGUGUGGAAGUUGUUUUCUGUGGCCUAGGCGAGGCCCAAUCUCUCCACUUGUCGAAACAUCUGCAAAUACUUUGUUCAUUUCAGAGACAUCUGAUCACAGCCAGUCUCCCAUAUGGAUUGCUUCCUUUUUCCUUGUUCCUGUAAAGCAUCAAUAAUCUGGGGAGGUACUCCUCAGAAGAGAAGCGGGAAGGCCUGGGGACUAGAGUUCUGAUGGGUUUUCUCUCACAUUCGUUAACUGAUUCAAUCAUCAUCAUGUAUUAGGCGGUAUUUGCAAUGCAAAUAUCAGUAAGCAGUAGUCUCUGUCUUCAAACAAGGAACAAUCUAAUGCAGGCUUCAUUUGUCUCAAGGUGGGGAUUAUGUGUUUAUCGUAAUAAAUUACAUCUACCAAGGGUCUUCUAUAUAUAAAAAUCCACAAGUCCUUUCAUUUUCUUAUUUUUGGAAGAUAGUGUUUAUGAAGUAGUUUACAUAAACUCUUUAAUUGGUUUUCCCAUUUUGAAGCCACAUAAAAUUGAAAGCAACAAUCUUUAAAGGCUUUGAUAAAUACUAGACAUUAGUUUAAUACCAUGGAAAUCUUUGAUAAGUGAAAUGAUAAAGUGUAGCACAGAUAAUCAGAUUCCUUCACAUGUCUCAUCUGCUUUAGGUCUGUAUCUUAAGUUACAAAACUAACUGCUUAAUCAUUGUUAGAAACUAUAUUUUUAUUGAUUAAUUAAUGUAUUUAUUUUUGGUACCAGGACUUUGAGGUUGUGAGACAGGUGUGGUGGCACUGAGGUAAAUCCCUGGCCCCUAGAAACUAUUUUUUAAAGUGUGUUAAUUUAUUUGGAUCACUUUAUGCCCCAUACAUUAAUUCCAGGUUUGCACUAUAUAUUUAUACAAUGCACAAAUUUGCACAUUUUAAUGUUGAACUCUCAUUUCAUAACAAAUCACAUGAAUUUUUAAUUAACUGUUCCUGUAGUAGUUGAGCAAUAAUUACACCUUCAAAGCACUAGGAGAUUUAAGGUAUAUUCAGGGUGUGGCCCAUCUACCCAGGAUUUCAAAACCGCGUGGUUCUUUGGGUCCUGUUGGGGCUCAUCUAUUUGCACAUCUCCCCUGCAGAAGUUUGUACUAAUCAGGUCACUACAUCCUGACAUGGCACUCUCUACUUACUGUUUGUACCAUGAUGUAAUGUCAACAGACUACAGGGAAGUUAGCAACAGGAAAAAUAAAAUGUUUUAAUCCCAAGGCCAUCCCCAGGAUUCAGGAGAUUACACACACUAUAUCAAAUCCUCUGAUAUCAAGCCCUACCAAUGAGCUCUGCCAAAGUGUGGAGCCAUUCUCUGACCGUACAACCCUCCCUAGUGGCAAUGCAGGACUGAGGUAAACUGUUGUGAGCUGAUGGUUCUUCCAUUUUGUUUACAUUGAAAAGGCAGGUGGUUGUUCUAUUAUGGCUUUCUUCUUCUGUACAACAUUUCACACAGCAUCAUGACUUAGCUGGUCUUGAUUUACACAGAUAUGAAUUAACACCUUGGAAGAUUUGGGUUCACUUUUCCUUUAGCCUUGGCUUCCCACUACCCACAACACUCUUCCGUCUUGAGCCCAGAGCAGAGCAAUGCUAUUAAAUACAACAGGAAAAUACAUGUCAAGAGGCAGAAGGGAGCUAGCUGCUCGAGAAUCCUGAAGAACAAAGAAAGCUUCUACAACUUCAUGGUGCUUUUGUCAAAUUAGUAGAUAACAAACCUUCUGAAGGUAGAUGCAAGGCACCUUGGCAGGUGAAGCUAGGACUGGCGAUCAGUGGCUACCACCUCCCUUACGGUUCACCGAGGACCACUGUUCAGUCAGCAAUCUGAACUACUACUUGAGAUCCUGGCAGAAAGAGCAGGCAAAGCCUCAACAUGAUGGGAGAGGGCACUGAGAAAAAGGAGUAACUAUGAUAAGAAGAACGAUGGGAAGCAAAGUAUUGUGUGCUUUUUGUUUUAGAAUUUUCUACAUAGAAGAGACGAAGGACGGGCCCUUGACUUCUGAGUCCAGCUCAAACUACCUGUCCUAUCCUGAGCUUCCUUCUUGAAAAGUCUAUGUGUGGUGCCUCUUCUUUAUCUCUCAAAGGUCCUUUACUAAAAGCCUCAAACAAGAGUUUCAUAUUUACACCCAUAAGGAGUGUGCAAGGUGUUAGUAUUCCUAAGGUGAUCUACCUUUACAAAAAGGCCAGACAUUUAAACAUUAAUAAGGUUUUGUCUGUUCACUGUACUAUGCCCUAGAACAAGGCCUGACCCACAGAAGCUCUCUUAAUAUGUUGAAUAAAUUUCUAAUCCUAAACCUUUAGUCAUUUAGCAACAGAAAAUCACGCCAAGGAGUUCCUUGCCUUCCAGGGUCUACUAAUUAAAAUAAUUAAAAUAUAUCAUGUACCGGUACAAAUUCCCUAUGAUGAAUGUUAUCAUUAUGUAUAUUAAAAAUGUACGAAUAAAAAUUUUAACAAAAGGUUCUACAUAUUAAGAAGAGUCAUCAAAAAUUAAGUUUUCUCCUAAGCACAUCAUAGGCUAGGUCUCAGCUCAGAAAAUACCAUCACCACAGAGUACUAAAUAGCAUACUAACACUAGUAGUAGAUACUAUUAUAUAUCUUAUGUAUAAUUCUAUUAUUAUUAGAGUAAUACUGAUUUUCUCCAAUGUCCACUGCACAGCAUGAGCCAUUUUCUGAACAAUGAUACCGAGGAAACAGGCCAAACAUUUUGUCAGAAUCCAGCCUUCUAUACUGUUUGUUAGUACUUGACUAUGUACAGUUUUAAAAACUGGUGAUACAGUUGUAGCAGUGAUACUUUUGUAAUUUUAGGUAUGAUAGUCUUAAGAGUGGUGCUAUUUAUAGUAGCUGAACAUCAUCCUCCUUUCUUCCUAAGGACUCAAAGCACUUGUGGUGAGGUUGUGCUCGUCCCACCUCUGGUGAGGCGGGCAGGUUGUAACCCUUAUUUCCACCAUACCAGGAUUACACGUGAGUCAGACGGGCGGGCACCACUUACUCAUGACAAUUUAAUUCAUGGCUGUAGCCACUAGAGAAUAUUGCUUAAACAUUAAUUCAUUCCUUCGAUGUAUGAAUUUGAUAGUUUGUUGAACAGACUCAACUAAGUCCUUACUGAAUCCAGAUCAUAUCAACAUUACAAACUGUAAAAAAAGAAAUUCUCAUAAAUUCAGAAGAGAUUUUUCUGUGCGGUGUGAUUAAUCCUAAUGGUUACACAGUGACAUACCUACCAAUGAAUCACACAUAUACUAAGUUAAUGACUGAACGAUUUUGCUGAGGCUGGGGCUGUAGUUCCGGGCAGAGGGCCCGCACAGUACCAAGGCCCUGGGCUCAAUCCCCAGAACUGGGGGAGGUAGCGUGUAGAUAUGUAACUCUUACACUGCAGAUGUUAUUCAUGUAUCUAUAAGGCUGGAUUUUUUUAUUCGACGUUUGGCCCACAGCUCAAUACGUGCAUUUUCUAAGUCUAAUUAGAAAUUUUGGCUGCAUAGUGUCGAUUUGGUACAAGAUGUUCAAGACCAUGAAAAGAUGAAUGUUAGGGCUUCAUGUCAUAAACUGAUUUUUUUCCAGUUCAUCUGUCCUUUUCGGUAACCUGACUGUACCCUGUGACUCUUACUGAACUCACAAUUAUUCCUUUUGCCAAACCACGCCCCCAGACUUGCGUGUAUAAAUCAAAUUUCAUGCACGCAUAUGCAAGCUGUGUGUACUGUCUGUUAAACGAAGGAACAAAUUAAAAGCAUAUUUCAAUGAGGUCUAUGUUGUAGUUUUUAAAGUUACCUGCUGAGGGUACCGUGUACAACACUGACUCACAGGGGUGAUUUUCACCGUGCAUCUCGCAAGGUAAUUUACUAAUCGAAUCCAGUGCCUUAACCGUGCAGGACCCAUUUUGUUCAGCUUUCUCCUGGGCGCUCGCCUUCCCCUCCGAACGUUUCUGACCCCGCUCCUGCCCGGCCUGGGAGGGGCUGAUCCGCCCCCGGCUCCCUCCGCUGGAG
ensembl:lincRNA